rnacentral:rRNA from 1 species
GAUGAACGCUGGCGGCGUGCCUAAUACAUGCAAGUCGAGCGAACAGACGAGGAGCUUGCUCCUCUGACGUUAGCGUCGGACGGGUGAGUAACACGUGGAUAACCUACCUAUAAGACUGGGAUAACUUCGGGAAACCGGAGCUAAUACCGGAUAAUAUAUUGAACCGCAUGGUUCAAUAGUGAAAGACGGUAUUGCUGUCACUUAUAGAUGGAUCCGCGCCGCAUUAGCUAGUUGGUAAGGUAACGGCUUACCAAGGCGACGAUGCAUAGCCGACCUGAGAGGGUGAUCGGCCACACUAGAACUGAGACACGGUCCAGACUCCUGCGGGAGGCAGCAGUAGGGAAUCUUCCGCAAUGGGCGAAGGCCUGACGGAGCAACGCCGCGUGAGUGAUGAAGGUCUUCGGAUCGUAAAACUCUGUUAUUAGGGAAGAACAAAUGUGUAAGUAACUAUGCACGUCUUGACGGUACCUAAUCAGAAAGCCACGGCUAACUACGUG